rnacentral:rRNA from 1 species
UACGGAGGGUGCGAGCGUUAAUCGGAAUUACUGGGCGUAAAGCGCACGUAGGCGGCCACGCAAGUCGGGUGUGAAAUCCCGGAGCUCAACUCCGGAACUGCACUCGAAACUGCGCGGCUUGAGGUAGGUAGGGGAGAUCGGAAUUCCUGGUGUAGCGGUGGAAUGCGUAGAGAUCCGGAGGAAGACCGGUGGCGAAGGCGGUCUGCUGGGCAGUUUCUGACACUGAGGCGCGACAGCGUGGGGAGCAAACAGG